ensembl:misc_RNA Metazoa_SRP Metazoan signal recognition particle RNA
ACUGGGUGUGGUGGUGUGCACCUGUGGUCCCAGCUACUUGGGAGGCUGAGGCAGGAGGAUCACUUAAGUCUGGCAGUCCUGAGCUAUAGUGCACUAUGCUGAUUGGGUGUCUGCACUAAGCUUGGCAUCAAUAUGGUGACCUCUGGGGAGUGAGGGGCCGCCUGGUUGCCUAAGAAGGGGUGAACUGGCCCAUGUCAGAAACAGAGCACGUCAAACUCCUCUGCUGAUCAGUAGGGGGAUCCUGCCUGUGAAUAGCUGCUGCACUCCAGCCUGGGCAACAUAGCAAGACCCCAUCUCUA